GCGCUGGUUGCGCAUGCGCCUGUCAUUGCCGGGGUGUUUGUUCCUGCGGAGGAGCCGGCGCCAUGGCGGUUCUCUUGGAGACCACUCUGGGCGACGUGGUCAUCGACUUGUACACUGAAGAGCGUCCCCGGGCUUGCUUGAAUUUUUUGAAGCUGUGCAAAAUAAAAUAUUACAACUAUUGCCUCAUACACAAUGUACAGAGGGAUUUUAUCAUACAAACAGGAGAUCCCACGGGGACUGGCCGCGGAGGAGAGUCUAUAUUUGGACAACUGUAUGGUGAUCAAGCAAGCUUUUUUGAAGCAGAAAAAGUACCAAGGAUAAAGCACAAGAAGAAAGGCACUGUGUCCAUGGUGAACAACGGCAGUGACCAGCACGGGUCUCAGUUUCUUAUCACUACAGGAGAAAACUUAGAUUACCUUGACGGUGUUCAUACAGUGUUUGGUGAAGUGACAGAAGGCAUGGACAUAGUUAAGAAAAUCAAUGAGACCUUUGUGGACAAGGAUUUUGUACCAUAUCAAGAUAUAAGGAUAAAUCAUACAGUGAUUUUAGAUGAUCCAUUUGAUGACCCUCCUGAUUUAUUAAUUCCUGAUCGAUCACCCGAGCCUACAAAGGAACAAUUAGAUAGUGGUCGAAUAGGAGCAGAUGAAGAAAUUGAUGACUUCAAAGGAAGAUCAGCUGAAGAAGUAGAAGAAAUAAAGGCAGAAAAAGAGGCUAAAACUCAAGCUAUUCUCUUGGAGAUGGUGGGAGACUUACCUGAUGCAGAUAUUAAACCUCCAGAAAAUGUGCUGUUUGUGUGUAAAUUGAAUCCAGUGACCACAGAUGAGGACUUGGAGAUAAUAUUCUCAAGAUUUGGGCCAAUAAGAAGGGUCUUAUUAUGUAGUCUUGACUGGCCAGCAACUUGCCACAUAGUGGGCUUGAACUUGAGAUCUGCCUUCCUCUGCUUCCUGAGUGUUAAAACUUAAAGCCAGAUGUCACCACAUUCAACAGAGGUUUUUUAAUUACACAUUUUUGUUGUGAAGUUAUCCGGGAUUGGAAAACAGGAGAGUCCCUCUGUUAUGCUUUUAUUGAAUUUGAAAAGGAAGAAGACUGUGAGAAAGCAUUCUUCAAAAUGGAUAAUGUGCUUAUAGAUGACAGGAGGAUACAUGUGGAUUUCAGCCAGUCUGUUGCAAAGGUUAAAUGGAAAGGAAAAGGUGGGAAAUAUACCAAGAGUGAUUUCAAGGAGUAUGAAAAGGAACAGGAUAAACCAGCCAAUUUGGUUCUGAAAGAAAAAGUAAAGCCCAAACAGGAUGCAAAAUAUGAUCUUAUACUAGAUGAGCAGGGAGAAGACUCCAAAUCAAGUCACUCACACACAAGUAAAAAGCACAAAAAGAAAACACGCCACUGCUCCGAAGAAAAAGAAGAUGAAGAGUACAUGCCAAUCAAAAAUCCUAAUCAGGAUAUCUACAGGGAAAUGGGUUUUGGUCAUUAUGAAGAAGAAGAAAGCUGUUGGGAGAAACAGAAGAAUGAAAAGAGAGACCGACGUCAGAACCGCAGUCGUAGCCGGUCUCGAGAAAGGGAUGGUCACUAUAGCAACAGCCACAAACCCAAGUACCAGACAGAACCUUAUGAGAGGGAAAGAAGCAGAAAGAGGGACAGAAGCAGGAGUCCAAAGAAAUCCAAAGCUAAAGAAAAAUCCAAGUACAGAUGAGCAGAGGAGGUGGACAAUUGUAGCAGGUCUGCUCCGGCCUGAGCUGGGGCACGCAGACGCACUCAGUGCCUGCCAGCACAGCUGACUGCGGUUUCGAUGUUAGCGUUGUUGCCUUUCAGGUUACACUGAUGGUGUGGGGCUCUGGAAGAGAGGGAGGCAUUUUGUGUAUACUUUUUAUACAAAUUUUAUUGUUGUGCAUACAUGGUAACGUUCAUAUUUGACAUCUUUCAUAGUUUCAGUCUUUUAAGAAUGAAUCAUUUCAUAUCACAGAAGUCCAUAAACUUGUAUGUAAAGCAUAAAACAGAAAAUGUACCUGGCUGCAGCGCAAGAGGUAAGAGUGUCACUCACUAUGAAAGCUCCAUAUAUCCCUUCUCCUUGCAGGAAUUAUUCUGAGUUGUGUUUACCCUGCUGUUAAUUUUGUAUGUUUUUGAAUUUUAUACAAAUGGCACAAUGUAUAUUUUCCUUCUGUGACUUUCUUUUUUUAAGAGUCCAUUUAUUUUUAUUGUUACAUAGUUGUGAAUGUACUACGCUUGAUCUGUUGAUGGACUUUUAGGUUGUUUGUUAGUUUUUGCUAUCUGAGGAAUGCCACUGUGAACAUUUCAACUGAGCAUGGCACUUUCUGGCCAUGUGGUUUGAGUUUUCAAUGCAUUUAUAGUUAUGGUUGCUGUAAUUUACCUGGUAUGUGAAUUGUAUGGGGUCAGGGGUAGCCACAAGAGUAGUUAGUCUACCAUACAGCUCAGAGCACAUUUGCUCCAUUAUUGUACAUAGUUUUGACUACCAAUAGAAAAGGCUUAACUAUAUCAGGAGCUAGCAUCUUUUCUAGGGAGAUGGCUCAGUGGGUACAGUGUUUCCUCAUCAGCACAGGACUGAGUUCAGAUCCUCACCACAUACCCAGUGCAUGCGACUAAUAAUCCAGUACUGGGGAGACAGGAGCGGGGGAAGCUCCAGGCAGUUCGAGUGACCGAGGAAGACACUCGGCACUGACCUCUUGCCUCCACAUACUGUACAAACUCGUGCGUGCAGGCACACACACACCCGAAUACACAGCUGUUCUGCAUACAGAACGGUAGGUGUUGCUCACACAGAUGAACCUAAAACAUGGUCUAGAAGAAUGAGCAGGGACAGGCUGGAAGCAACGAGAAGUCAUCCACUGACUGCGGAGACUCGAUUUAAGAGCUCUGGAGUAUUGAAAUAGGAAAAUGUAUGCACCAAGCGUUUCAAGGAAAACAUAUCCUUGAUUCCAAAUGAUAAGAAACCGUUUUAUUUUUCCUAUGUAUUUGACAGUAACUAUAUGCUUAUGGGAGUGUAAUAUGUUUGCUAUAUGUUAAUAUUCUGGAACAAGUAAAUCCAUUUGCAGACAUA